rnacentral:lncRNA from 1 species
AUGCAACAGGGUUGCCUGGGUAGGCAUGGAGGGAGGAAGAAGGCCAGCUCCCUGGGCUCCAGAAUAGGCUGCGGCAGCCCUGUUGGCAAUGUGGUCGCCUUUUCUCAGCCAGGUCAUUUCCUCUUCUGCUUGGACAUGCGGCUCCUCAUUGCCUCAGGAUGUCUUUAUCCUGCAUAUUCACUUUCCAGGGACCUAUGGAGGGGAGACCCGGGCAUAUGGGCUCAGCCCUGCAGUCAGCAUGGCCCUGUUCCUUGCCCGGGGAGCCCCCAAUCGCCCACAGCGGGGCAUUUUUCCUCCGGAAGGGCACCUGGCAGCCUGAGAGCCCGGCUCCCCUCCGCUGGGAUUGUACUGCCUGGAAUAUCCUUCGGCUCCUUGCUUUCCCAUUCUUGGCCUUGAUGUGAUGCUCCAAAAUGUCCUCUGAGGCUCUGAGCUGUGUCUUCCAAGAGAGUGGGGAGCUGGCCUGAGAUCUGAACAAGUGCCUGGGUUUUAACGUACCGAUAGAAAAAUUAAUUGGCAAAGCCUA